CCCGUACAUUGGUCUCUCUACAUAUGACAACCUGAAUUGCCAGUCGCCUCAUAUUUUGACAGGCAAGGACUUUAUUCUUUUGCUCAAGUAGUUCUGGAUAAGUCAAGCGAUAACUGUGCCAAUCGCCUGUCCGCUGUUAUUAGUUUGGCGAUUAUUGUUAUUGGAAAUCCUCUGGUUCUUUCCUUUUAUUUCGGGCAAUCCCCCCGGCUAUCCUCUCUUUGAUCAUCAGGCUUCUUCAUGUGGCAACCUGUCCCUGAAAAAAAAAAAAAAAAAAAAAAAAAAGCAAUUUCCAUCCCUCCUCAUUUUGAUAUAGGAUUUGCUCCUUAACUCCGAGACAGUGCAGUGGAGCUUCCGAAAAGCCACUUUUCAGCAACUCGUAGUACGCAAGAAGCAUAUUAGUUCGGGAGCCUACAUUGCAUCUACUUCCGUGCAUAAUCACGACAACAGUUGGCAUCCCGG
rnacentral:sRNA from 1 species